GUCAGCUGACGGGUUGGGCUGUGUUCCUGCCUGUUGGUUGUUUGGCAUGAGGCAUCCCAGCACUGGAGCCUACAGGCUGUUGGGUGAGGAUAGGUCUUGUUGCCAAAAUAGCGACUUCCAGAAGACCUCAAGCCGAUGAAUAUUCCCCCAGUACCUCCACCACCAGUGUCAUUGUCGCCACAGCUGCCCCGCCUCGCCUCCCUGGAGACCCUCCAAGACCAGCAGGAGCUUUCAUUUGAUAAAGGCAACUCUUGGCUCUGAGAUACUGUUAUGUUCAGGAUCGAGACAAGAUCCAGGGUUAUUGCUCAGAGCUAUUGGUGUACACCUGUAAGCUAGUCCCUUGAAGCUUAAUUUGAAUGAUGAUACAGCAGUGAUAUGGACUUCAGAAGACUACAGAUAAGCUGGUUCUGUGUUAAUCCAGUGAGACUCAAAAAUGUCAACUCACCAUUUCUCUCCAAAAGAGGAAAUAUCCUUUCCUAAUACUGCCAUGAAUGCCAUCACUAAAGAUGAAAUUUCAUCCUCACAGGAAACAUCCUGACCAGGCCCACCUAUGUGUGGCUGCAGGAAAGAAGAAAUUAACAUCCAACCCCUCCAGAGUCUGGCUGGAACUAGCAAAUAUUUGCAACAUCUUAUUGCCUAUUUUUUCCCUUUAUCUCCUCACUUCCCCCUCUUUGCUCUAUGAAAGAAACUAGCCUACAAACCCAGGCAAGACGGUUUUUUGGAACACUAGUCUACCAUCUUCUCUGCUGGCUUUCUGAAUAAAGUUGCUAUUCCUUGCCCAACAACUUGUCUCUUGAUUUGAUUGGCCUGUCAUGUGGCGAGCAGUACGAGCUUGGGACUCAGUAAGAUCACCAGUGCAUCAAAAAGAAGAAAAUGCCUAGGAUUAAUCCUACCUAAGGAGGUGAAAGAUCUGUACUCAGAAAACUAUAAGACACCGAUGUAAGAAAUUGAAGAUGACACAAACUGUUGGUGGGAAUGUAAAUUGGUGCAGCCACUGUGAAAAACAGUAUGGAGGAUUCUCAAAAAACUAAAAAUGGAACUACCAUAUGACCCAGCCAUUCCACUCCUGGGUAUAUAUCCAAAACAAACAAAAAAAAUGAAAACACUAAUUUGAAAAGAUACAUACACUCCAAUGUUCAUAGCAGCAUUAUUUACAAUUACCAAGAUAUGGAAGCAGACUAAGUGACCAUUAACAGAUGGGUGAAUAAAGAAGAUGUGGUAUAUAUAUACAAUGGAAUACUACUCAGCCAUAAAAAAUGAAGUUUUGCCAUCUGCAACAACAUGGAUGGAUUUGGAGAGU